rnacentral:lncRNA from 1 species
CCUUAUGUCAUCACAUUUUGGGGGCCUCGACCCUAUCGUCCGACUCCUCACCAUCAUCAUUUCUGCAACUCCUUUCUGCAGCUGCUCAAUACACAUACAUCACAUGGUGUAAUAUAAUAUUGUCAAUUAGGAGCAAGUAGCUAGGAGGCAUUAUGAAGGACAAGGAAGCAUGAACAAAAUGAAAGCUUCAAUUCUUUACCUGUUGAGCUUCAAGCAGCUUGGUGAUUGUUCUUCCUAUGAAAAGUUAGGCAUUCAGCUGCUACAUAUAUAUAUAUCGAAGUAGUCGAAAUCCUGCAGGAUAAAGUUUACUACUUUACUUACCUUGGGUUUGAAAUGUGAGGAGGGCGAGCAGAAGAAAUAGCAAGCAAAAAUGAGGAGUACUGCUCAUCUGCUGAUGUCGUUAGAGAAAUCUUGGAGAGGAUAUGUUUUAGGAGAAAGAGGUGGGUGGAAACAGAGUAAAUUAUAAAUAGUGGACCUCUAACACUUGGCAGCAGCCUCUGCCUAGUUUCAUGAACUCGAUCUCUUAUUACCCAUCUGAGCAAAGAGUGAAAUAGAUAAAGCUAUGCAUGAGAAUCACAGCACAAUUGGCAGAGGUGGUGAUGGGUAUGGGUGAGAUCACAAAUUUAUGAUUUGAGAUUUGUGAAGGGUUGGGAUUUGGGAACAGUUAGACUUGUCUCUCUGUGGUGGGAGGGAGCUACAAUUUCACACGCCAAUGUCCAUUUCAAUUCAAGUUUGGGUAAUAUAGGCUUUCUUUCUGCCUUGGAAUCACCAUUACAUUUAGAUUGUAUGCUUCCCAAGGACUGGAGGAUACUAUUUUUAGGGUAGGCAUAUGGAGUUUGCUUGAGAAUUGAGAAGUUCAGCAUUAUUUGUGAGCCGC